rnacentral:lncRNA from 1 species
GUAGGGCUCCUGCACGCUCAGAGUGGCCUUGGCCAGGAAGUCCAGGGUUUCCGCAGGCAGAGUGUAUGAACAAGGUACUGAGAAGAUCACAUACUGCAUGUCCUCCUAAAACCUGGUCCUGGCAUAACCUUCUAAGCUGUUUUAUUCAGGUGUUUAUGGAUUUUGUAUUUGCCCAUGUUUAAUGAGCUUUACAACACUUCCAUCAGAGAACG